GGGGAAUAUUGGGCAAUGGACGAAAGUCUGACCCAGCAACGCCGCGUGAAGGAAGAAGGCUUUCGGGUUGUAAACUUCUUUUAAGGGGGAAGAGCAGAAGACGGUACCCCUUGAAUAAGCCACGGCUAACUACGUGCCAGCAGCCGCGGUAAUACGUAGGUGGCGAGCGUUGUCCGGAUUUACUGGGCGUAAAGGGUGCGUAGGCGGAUAUUUAAGUCAGAUGUGAAAACCCCGGGCUUAACUUGGGGACUGCAUUUGAAACUGAAAGACUUGAGUAUUGGAGAGGCAAGUGGAAUUCCUAGUGUAGCGGUGAAAUGCGUAGAUAUUAGGAGGAACACCGGUGGCGAAGGCGGCUUGCUGGACAAAUACUGACGCUGAGGUGCGAAAGCGUGGGGAGCAAACA
rnacentral:rRNA from 1 species